AUGAAACGCUAGCGGCAGGCUUAAUACAUGCAAGUCGUGGGGGCAGCAUGUUCCCGCAGCAAUGGCGGGAUGAUGGCGGACCGGCAAACGGGUGCGGAAACACGUACACAACCUUCCUUUAAGUGGGGGAAAUAGCCCCGGGGAAAACCCGGAUUAAUACCCCGUAAACAUUAUGAAGUGGCAUCACUUUAUAAUUGUAGCUACGGCGCUUAAUGAUGGGUGUGGCGUCUGAUUAGGUAGUUGGCGGAGUAGUAACAGCCCCACCAAGCCUACGAUCAGGUAAACUGGUGUGAGAGCAACGACCAGUCACACGGGCACUGAGGACACGGGCCCGACUCCUACGGGAGGGCAAGCAGUAAGGAAUAUUGGGCAAUGGACGCAAGUCUUGACCCAGCCAUGCCGCCGUGGAGGAUGAAGGUUCCUCUGGAUUGUAAACUUCUUUUAUCUGGGAAGAAACCCAUCUUUUUCUUGGGUGGUUGACGGUGCCAGAUGAAUAAGCAACCGGCUAACUCCGUGCCAGCAGCCGCGGUAAUACGGAGGGUUGCAAGCGUUAUCCGGAUUCACUGGGUUUUAAAGGGUGCGUAGGUGGGCAGGUAAGUCAGUGGUGAAAAUCCUGUAGCUUAACUACAGAACUGCCAUUGAUACUAUUUGUCUUGAAUACUCUGGAGGUGAGCGGAAAUAUGUCAUGUAGCGGUGAAAUGCUUAGAUAUGACAUAGAACACCCAUUGCGAAAGGCAGCUCACUACGGGAAUAUUGACGCUUGAGGCACGGAAAGCGUGGGGAUCAAACAGGAAUUAGAUACCCUGGUAGUCCACGCCCUAAACGAUGAUCACUCGACAUCAGCGAUACACAGUUGGUGUCUGAGCAAAAGCAUUAAGUGAUCCACCUGGGAAGUACGAUCGCAAGAUUGAAACUCAAAGGAAUUGGCGGGGGGUUCCGCCACAAGCGGUGGAGCAUGUGGGUUUUAAUUCGAUGAUACGCGAGGAACCUUACCUGGGCUAGGAAUGCAGAAUGACAGAGGGUGAAAAGCUCUCUUUGUAGCAAUACAACAUUUUGUAAGGUGGCUGCAUGGCUGUCGUCAAGCCUCGUGCCGUGAGGUGUUGGGUUUAAGUCCCGCAACGAGCGCAACCCCCCAUCACUAGUUGCCAUCAGGUAACGCUGGGGAAACUCUAGUGAAAACUGCCGUCGUAAGACGUGAGGAAGGAAGGGGAUGAUGUUCAAGUCAUCAUGGCCUUUAUGCCCAGGGCUACACACGUGCUACAAUGGGGGCGUACAAAGGGCCAGCAACACGGUGACGUGAAGCUAAUCCCAAAAAAACGUCUCUCAGUUCAGAUUGAAGUCUGCAACUCGACUUCAUGAAGCUGGAAUCGCUAGUAAUCGUAUAUCAGCAAUGAUACGGUGAAUACGUUUCCCGGACCUUGCACACACCGCCCGUCAAGCCAUGGGAGCCGGGGUGUAACCUAAAGUCGGUAACCGUAAGGAGCCGCCUAGGGUAAAAACUGGUGACUGGGGCU
rnacentral:rRNA from 1 species